UAUCCCCAAAAAAGUUUAUAACUCUUUCGUACAAGAAUGUUGCGAACCCUUAUGACUGUCUUUCACAAUCCAUCAAGUCCCCAGGCCCCAACCGCACAAUAUGUCCCCUUCCACACUCGUCUCUCUCUCCCUCCUCCUUGUAGCUAUCUGGUCAUUCCUUCAUCUCCGCCGGAAAAAUGGCCGGAAACUUCCACCAGGCCCACUAGCCCUUCCAGUCAUUGGCAACCUCCACAUGUUGGGCCACCUCCCCCACCGCAGCCUCCAAAAUCUAGCCAAAAAAUACGGGCCCAUCAUGUCCAUGAAACUAGGCUCUAAACAGCAAUCAUAGUCUCAUCCCCAGAAGCAGCCGAGCUGUUCCUCAAAACCCACGACAUAUUAUUCGCUAGUCGCCCCAAAAUACAAGCCUCGGACAUCAUAUCGUACGGAUCCAGGGGCCUCGUCUUUUCUGAG
rnacentral:lncRNA from 1 species